rnacentral:misc_RNA from 1 species
UAAUUUUUUAAUAGAAGUCAGAAAGCGCACAACUGAUACACUCAGUAUUUGGCACACCCUCAUUUCCUAAGCUAUUCGGUAACCAAAUUAUUUUUCAAGGAAAUGAUUUUUGGCAUGCCUUGUGCGAUAAAUUUCACAGAUUCUCACAUCAAUAUUUUACAUUAUAUACUACUAUUCUUCACAAAAAAUUACAAAUAAUUUUGACCUGCCUAGUGGGACUCAAGUCUCAUUUCAGCAUUCAAAACCAUUGUUUUUGUGG